AAAAAAAAAGAAAAGGCAUAAAGAGCAACGUCAGGAUCAGAACCAGUUUUAACUUCCCAGGUGCAGUUCACCUGGCUGCUUUCCAGAGCCAGUAAUUCAGUAAUUGCUUCAGAAGGACUCAUUGCAUAAAUGUGACUAGAAAUAGGACCCCUUCUAGCCAUAAUUAAUUUUAAUGGCCUUUUGCAUAGUAGUGUUUCUAAAUGCUUUAUAUUGUCCUAAUCUCACAAGUAAAAACCUGAGUCAUCAGAAGGUUUAAAUCUGCCAUUAGACCAGACAGUGGGCUUGGACAGAAUUUUCUGACUUCCAGUCCUGUCCUUUGAUCACAGGAUUUCUUCAGUGCAUUCAAGCAUAUCUUUUCUGUUCAUUGUCUCACAUGUAUUAUUUGUGUCAGGAUGAAUCACAUCUCCGUACACAGGAUAUAAAACUGGCUCCGGAGUUCUACAGCCACAGGAAGCGCAGAGACUGCAGGGGAGGAGAAUUGCUUCCCUGGCUCCUGCAGCUUGGACAUCAGCAUGAAGCAAUCAGGAGGGUAAUCAAGGAGAAAGGAAAUAAUCUUUCUGGCCCCACCAGCAACUACUUACAGUGGAAAGCAACAGUGGGAAGCCAUUAAUAGGUGGUUGUUGAUGGUGUUAUCAAAACGUAUUAGUAAGAGAAAGGCUAAAAGCUGUCCACUGAUCUUUUUAUGAUGAUCUAUGACAAAAAAGCUUCCAAACCAUUCAGAGAACACUGAACUCCCUACCUACCUUUACAGGUAUUUCUUUCCCACUGUCUUUGGGAGCAGGAAGCUCCAAGUGGUAAAAACCCACAAGUACACAAAAGCAGGAGUACUGAAGGAAUGUUAGAAGGGCAGAGUGACUGAUGCUGUCAUCUGAUGGAUUCAUUGCCCAGAUUGACGUGUUUAUAUAAAAACCUGCAGUGCUGUUCACAGACCCUCAGUGGUGGACCAGUGGAAUUCGUGAGAUAGCAGCUGGGACAAUCACUUCCAGUUCAAUAAAUCUUUGUUUUCCUUUGC